rnacentral:rRNA from 1 species
UACGAACUGUGCGAACGUUAUUCGGAAUCACUGGGCUUAAAGGGUGCGUAGGCGGCGCUCCAAGUCAGGUGUGAAAUCCCCCGGCUCAACCGGGGAACAGCGCUUGAAACUAGAGUGCUCGAGCGAGGCAGGGGUGUGUGGAACUUCCGGUGGAGCGGUGAAAUGUGUAGAGAUCGGAAGGAACGCCGGCGGCGAAAGCGGCACACUGGGUCUUGACUGACGCUGAGGCACGAAAGCCAGGGGAGUGAAC